CUUCUUCCGGUGUCUCUCUCAGCUUCAACCUGUCUGGGAGUGCUUGUGAAGAAGUGUGGUUUAAAACUAGGGAAUUCUUAGGCCUCUCCGUGUUUGUAGAGUAUAGUAACUGACAUAUGCAGUAUGGUUUCUGAUGGCAUAACAGGUCCUCUUGUGAACGGACUGGCCAAUUGGGCUUCAGAACAAAAUGUGGGUGAAUAAUCCUGGGAAUGAAUACAUAAAAUGCAUGUUUUGCAUCUGAAGAAGCUUGUCCUAAUGGUGUGAUCUGAAGGAUGUCCACUAGAAGGCGCAACACCCCGUUUUUGGUGAUUUGAGGUCCCAUAUGGCUAGAUUGAAGAAUGAAUGCUGGCAGGCUAUCGUUCUUCCAGUACUGUAAAAUGAAAAGUUUGGAGUUGGAGUGAAGGGUUUCCCAGCCGGACUUUUCUUGAAAGUUGUUGCUGGUGAGAUCAUACUGCACAGGGAAUCUGUAAACCUUCUGCUUUGGAAUGUUUUGUGGUGAUGCAGUUUUCAAUAAAUUAAGUGUGAAAGGUA